rnacentral:lncRNA from 1 species
CGUAAGGCUACUGAAGAUGUUGUAAAUACAUAUCAUAUUGUUGUUCUAGACACUCGUUCCCCCGGCGGCAGUCGCAAGGAGAGGACAGCAUUCACGAAGGCGCAGAUCAAAAGCUUGGAGGCAGAGUUUACUCGAGCUAACUACCUGACGCGCCUGCGCCGGUAUGAGAUCGCCGUCGCCUUGCAUCUUACUGAACGACAGGUGAAGGUAUGGUUCCAGAACAGAAGAAUGAAAUGGAAGAGGACAAAAGGCGCGUCCAAGCAUUCCAAGAAAAAGGACAGCACUAAUUUAAACUAAAAUAUCAAGUCAAUAUUUUACACUAGCUUUUCCACGCGGUUUCAGCAGCAGCCAUUGAAAACUACUUCCAGAUUUCUAGAAUGAUUGAUAAGUUAAAACUAGGAUCAUCUUUUGAUCGAUGAUUCAUAAUGAUGAUAGUUUUUUUUGUUGUAACACCUACCUUUACUUUAGCUUUUAAGUAAAUAUGUGAUAGUUAAGAACAUAAGGAAAACACAAUAUUUCAGGAGAUAAGAUAUGUUUAUUAGACAAUUCAUACCUCCGACACGAGGCGAGCGCGUGCCGAACAAAUAAUAACUAAACAUAAUAAUAAUAUUGUGAACUAACGCACUAUCUUUGGAAGGAACAAAACAUCUGGGCUAUGGGCAGCUACAAUUUGUUCAAACUUAAGAAUGGGUUAAAUUAUAAUGAUUAACAACAGCGGGGGAACUUCCAAAUCACUAAAAUACUAGCUGUAUUUAUAUAAUAACAUUGAUUGCAGCCAGGCGCCGUAUACGACUUCGUGGAAGAUAGCUACAUACAGUUUCCAACUUCAGUGCUCCGAGCGUUAGGUCUUUUGUUUCAAAUUGUUGGCAGUAUUCAUGAAAUGUUACAGAUAUUUACUAAAGCGGAUAGGAAAAGCUAAAUAAUUUACGCUAAAUGAAAGAUCAAGCUUAAACAAAGAUUAAAACUACUAAUUGAUUCUUAAUUAAAACUAUAGUAUACAAUUGAAAUUAAAAGUCGAAAGACAACUUGGAAGACUAACAAAAAGUUUAUUUUACAGAAAUAAUCUUACAAAGAGAUUCAUACAAAUCAAUUUAAUCAAGCAAUACUACAUAAUCACAGUUAAGAAAAAUAAAUUUCGUUAAAAAACAUUCAGAAACUGUAUGUAACUCAAGUGAGCAUAAAUCGUGACCGGACGUCGCCUUAACUCGCGUUAAAUUUUCCGUGAACUACGUUUAACAUUGGACCUAGCUAUAUCGUUGGACCAAAAUAAAAUAGCUAAUUUUCAACAAUAUAGAUAUAUAAUUAUCAUGUUUUAACAUACGCCGCUGAGUCUGUCAGUGCGCUGAGGGGUUCUACAGCCUGUAACAAUAUUGUAAUCAAAAUAAAUAAACGAUUUAAAACGACAUGCAGCAUUUUUACAUCGCUCUACGUUUUAAAUAUAUAUUCCUGAUUUUAAUCUUAAACUCUGAUCCUAGAUUUAAAGUUAAAAAAAUAUACUUUAGUGAACUUGUGACGCACUGACAGACACAGUGGUCACUCACCGUGAGCUUUAAGUUUAAUAUUAUAUAAAAAGUCGUCAGAACUUUUUAUUUAUUGGCUCCCGUGAUACAUAUGUACAAUGUGGUUAUCAUACUUUUAUAUUUUCUGUCAGGCACAAAUUUAAUCACCAACUUUGUAUUUUUUUAACGUUUUUAGUUAAUUUUAUAUGUUAUUGUUAUGUAGGGACAUUUAUAAUUAGCUGUAGGUUUAAGCUUUGAAUAGGGAUUUGAUGUGUAUAGUGGGAUUCACAAAAAUAUUGUGUGCUUCUAAAACGAAUGAUGAACAUGAAGUGAACACCUAAUGUAACCAAAAUGGUUCUAGAAUAAGUGUUUAUGAAUAAAUAAUGAAUAAAUGACAGAUUGUACUUUAUUGAACUAACUGUAAAUGUCCCUCAGACUAAAUAAUGUAGGUAGUAAUUUAAAUCAACAUUUAAAACGUGUAUUUAUUCCAAAAUUAUUGUUUUAUUUCUAAUUAAUCGGGUUUUAGCUCUAAAUGAGUUUCUAAUGCAUCCUUAUAUAUAAUUAACAGUUGGAAAAAUAUGUUCGGAGUGAUAUUCUUACAUGUUACGCUAUACAUUACUAUACAUAGAUUGUCUAGGUUCAUGCGAAUGAUACGAGGCGAUGUGUCGCGUCCCAUGCCUACAGCGAGCUAGUACACCUACUCCACGCCUGCUAGGAAUACAGACUAGACACCAAUCUAAAUGAAUUCUUAUUGAGCUUAUAAACUGUACACAGCAGUUUUAUAAGAUUGUGUGGUCAGUCUAUCUCCAUAUUCCGCCUCUCUCUUUAAAACGCAACAGAAGGAUAAAUAAAUAAAUUAUAAAUGCAUAUUCCCACCCGACUAGAGAAUUUUGAAAGUUUCUCAGCAAGGAACUAUAGUUUUGUAUUUCAUAGUCAGGUUUUUAGUAACUAAUAUUUAAGCGGGCCUCUAUUGAACUUAAAAUAAAUUAGUAUUGCGAAGUUAUUGCUGUUUUAAUGGUCACAAACCCUUUCCCAUAAUUUAUUUAUGAGAUUGAUAAUGCACCUUGGAACUGUGGAAUAACUCU